GACGAACGCUGGCGGCGUGCCUAAUACAUGCAAGUAGAACGCUGAAGAGAGGAGCUUGCUCUUCUUGGAUGAGUUGCGAACGGGUGAGUAACGCGUAGGUAACCUGCCUUGUAGCGGGGGAUAACUAUUGGAAACGAUAGCUAAUACCGCAUAACAAUGGAUGACACAUGUCAUUUAUUUGAAAGGGGCAAUUGCACCACUACAAGAUGGACCUGCGUUGUAUUAGCUAGUAGGUGAGGUAAUGGCUCACCUAGGCGACGAUACAUAGCCGACCUGAGAGGGUGAUCGGCCACACUGGGACUGAGACACGGCCCAGACUCCUACGGGAGGCAGCAGUAGGGAAUCUUCGGCAAUGGGGGCAACCCUGACCGAGCAACGCCGCGUGAGUGAAGAAGGUUUUCGGAUCGUAAAGCUCUGUUGUAAGUCAAGAACGGGUGUGAGAGUGGAAAGUUCACACUGUGACGGUAGCUUACCAGAAAGAGACGGCUAACUACGUG
rnacentral:rRNA from 1 species